AUUCAGACUGUGAAACUGCGGAUGGCUCAUUAAAUCAGUUAUAGUUUCUUUGAUGGUACCCUACUACUCGGAUAACCGUAGUAAUUCUACAGCUAAUACGUGCACCAACUCUCGACUCUUUGGAAGGGAUGCAUUUAUUAGAUAAAAGGAUGGCACUGGAACCAGGGUUUGUGUGUUCUGAUGCAUAUUGAUUAAAUUUAAUAUUUCAGUGUGUUUUGUGUAUAAAUGUUAUUUUUAAGUGACGUGGAUGGGAUGAUUUUUGCUAGAGAUCCUCAUCCUCACGGCCUGGAG
rnacentral:ncRNA from 1 species